AGCGGCGGACGGGUGAGUAACGCGUGGGUAACCUGCCCUGUACACACGGAUAACAUACCGAAAGGUAUGCUAAUACGAGAUAAUAUGCUUUUAUCGCAUGGUAGAAGUAUCAAAGCUUUUGCGGUACAGGAUGGACCCGCGUCUGAUUAGCUAGUUGGUAUGGUAACGGCUUACCAAGGCGACGAUCAGUAGCCGACCUGAGAGGGUGAUCAGCCACAUUGGAACUGAGACACGGUCCAAACUCCUACGGGAGGCAGCAGUGGGGAAUAUUGCACAAUGGGCGAAAGCCUGAUGCAGCAACGCCGCGUGAGCGAUGAAGGCCUUCGGGUCGUAAAGCUCUGUCCUCAAGGAAGAUAAUGACGGUACUUGAGGAGGAAGCCCCGGCUAACUACGUGCCAGCAGCCGCGGUAAUACGUAGGGGGCUAGCGUUAUCCGGAUUUACUGGGCGUAAAGGGUGCGUAGGUGGUUUCUUAAGUCAGAGGUGAAAGGCUACGGCUCAACCGUAGUAAGCCUUUGAAACUGGGAAACUUGAGUGCAGGAGAGGAGAGUGGAAUUCCUAGUGUAGCGGUGAAAUGCGUAGAUAUUAGGAGGAACACCAGUUGCGAAGGCGGCUCUCUGGACUGUAACUGACACUGAGGCACGAAAGCGUGGGGAGCAAACAGGAUUAGAUACCCUGGUAGUCCACGCCGCAACGAUGAGUACUAGCUGU
rnacentral:rRNA from 1 species